GCUAAAUACUCUCUAGUGACCGAUAGUGAACCAGUACCGUGAGGGAAAGGUGAAAAGCACCCCGGAAGGGGAGUGAAAUAGAACCUGAAACCGUGUGCUUACAAGUAGUCAGAGCCCGUUAAUGGGUGAUGGCGUGCCUUUUGUAGAAUGAACCGGCGAGUUACGAUUUGAUGCAAGGUUAAGCAGUAAAUGUGGAGCCGUAGCGAAAGCGAGUCUGAAUAGGGCGUUUAGUAUUUGGUCGUAGACCCGAAACCAGGUGAUCUACCCUUGGUCAGGUUGAAGUUCAGGUAACACUGAAUGGAGGACCGAACCGACUUACGUUGAAAAGUGAGCGGAUGAACUGAGGGUAGCGGAGAAAUUCCAAUCGAACCUGGAGAUAGCUGGUUCUCUCCGAAAUAGCUUUAGGGCUAGCCUCAAGUGAUGAUUAUUGGAGGUAGAGCACUGUUUGGACGAGGGGCCCCUCUCGGGUUACCGAAUUCAGACAAACUCCGAAUGCCAAUUAAUUUAACUUGGGAGUCAGAACAUGGGUGAUAAGGUCCGUGUUCGAAAGGGAAACAGCCCAGACCACCAGCUAAGGU
rnacentral:rRNA from 1 species